GGGAAGCUGAACAUGUGCCCACGGUGUUCACACUUGGUCCACCUUCUUCCAAGCCAUUUGCUGCAGUCAAACAUGCCUCACUUUGGUUUCAUUGAUGGCCACCCCUUCCUCUCUCUCUGUCUCUCCAGAGGGUUAAGAAGCUUACAGUUGGAGUGCUUUCUCCCUGGCUGAGGGGCAGGAGAGUGAGUGGCUGCAGAGGACAGACAGAUAAAACAGCACAAAAGCAUCACUGAUGGAAGAAGAUCAGACAAGUACAGGAGAAGCUGAGUAGGAUAACGGCAGAUGAAUAGGUGAGUGUAU